rnacentral:lncRNA from 1 species
CCACGCCUGGCAGCCAUACAACAGAAUUGCUCGGACUUGGGUUGCAAAACACCGCAUUCACACAUCGGGGGCAAACAGCUUCAUUUUGUCCAGCUUUGCGCUUAAGGAAAACAUAGCGGACCGACCUGUAUCACACAACUGCUGACGGCACGCACUAAAAGGCCAUUCUGGCCCAUAUACCAAGCCCAGAUAGCGAGCGCUAUCUUUGGCAGGUACUACCUGGCCUGAUAGCCGUAACUGUUGACAUCUCUAGCUAAGUAAACCUAAGUAAACCUAAGUAAACCUGUUAUAUGAUUGUGACGUAGGGGGAAUGACAACUUCAUCCGUGGCCACCAACCUGGCAGUCUCUAUCUACCUAUCCCGAUGUUCCGGGGCGCCCCCAUGUUUCGGGGGCCUCUCAUCCAUGCGGACUUCUGCAAAUCAAAACAUUUUUGGAUACCUACCAUCAGCACAACAGGUCACUAGCGAUAACCGGGUCUAUCACCGGUGGUACAGUCCAUUGGCAUGGGGAUGCACGUGCAUCCGUUUUAAGCGGUCGAGAGGAAUAAUUAAUCCGUCCUAUGCCGAGUUCAAUCCUGAAAUCUUUCAAGGUGUGGAGCUAUAUAUGACGCGACUAAGCACAUGGUGCCAUAAAUAAACAAACUAGUGGUGCCAUAAAUGAAAAAUAAAUAUGGUGCCAUAAAUAAAGUAAGCUAUAGAAAAAUUAUUCUGAGCCUGAACUCUUCUAUAAUUUGCAGCGGCUGGGAAGCCAAAUACGUCGAUAUCGAUGGACAAGGCCGCUAAUCCUGCCAUGUUUGUAAGUUCUCCCUCACGCCGCCGUCAUCCGGGCUUUCAUUUUGCCCUUGAGUUUAGAUUCCUUUCGCUCCUGCUGAUGUUGUCUGUAUCGUACCCCCAGUCAGCAGUCGUCGCCCACUCCAACUCCAGCUGGCGUUUAUGCAACUGUCCCGUUCAGCAGGGGUGGGCUUGGACGCACAAGAAGUACAAUGCCACCAGAACAGGCUCCAGGUCGUGAGGCACUUGAAGCAGGUGGUGCGAGCCGCGUCGGCGUCGGACAGCGGGGCAGUCACCUGCAUAUGCAUGUGAUGAAGGCGCGGAUGUAUGUAGACAUAUGUAGAGCCGCAACAGAUAGAGCAUUGUGUAACUUGCAUGCAUAUGGUUCCUUGUCGAGAGACAGGACGGAUGGAACGAAAAUAACAACAGCAAAGGAAAUGGGUUUCUGAUUACUUAUCCUGCUUAUUCUGCUAUCAUUCCGCUUAUUCUGCUAUUAUUACUUAUCCUACUUAUUACUAUGGACAGAAGGGCGAAGGAGUUUUGGGAGGGGAGAGGCGUUCCGAAGAAGCGCAUGCCAUGUUGAGGAUUGGAAUGCGCGCGGUUGUGUUGUUGUUAAUGCUUGUGGCUAGAUUAGUAGUGGCAUUGCCGCAACUGCUGCUACAGCUGCUAGUGCUAAUAAUUUAACUACGUGUAGGUGUGUGUGGCGAACACGGUUAUGUGAUGUCAUUUCAUGUUCAAGUACAGGCGAAACGGCCGUGCAGAAAAGUAGCAAACUUGUGUUGUGCUUUGUUGUGAGAGGGCAGCCAGGGAUGAAGAGGUUAUUAAGUGGGCAACUACCCGGAAUAAGAGUGAGCACAUGCACAGUCUCCAAGCUUGCACGUGUGCAUGUGCGUGUGCGUGUGCGUGUGCGUGUGCGUGUGCGUGUGCAUGUGCGUGUGUGUGUGCGUGUGCGUGUGCGUGUGCGUGUGCGUGUGCGUGUGCGUGUGCGUGUGCGUGUGCGUGUGCGUGUGCGUGUGCGUGUGCGUGUG